GGGGAUGUAGCUCACGUGGUAGAGCGCAUGCUUUGCAUGUAUGAGGUCCCUGGGUUCAAUCCCCAGCUUCUCCA